AUACGGAGGAUCCGAGCGUUAUCCGGAUUUAUUGGGUUUAAAGGGUGCGCAGGCGGGAGAUUAAGUCGGCGGUGAAAUUUUGCAGCUCAACUGUAAAAGUGCCUUCGAAACUGGUUUCCUUGAGUGUAGAUGAAGUAGGCGGAAUUUGUGGUGUAGCGGUGAAAUGCAUAGAUAUCACGAGGAACUCCGAUUGCGCAGGCAGCUUACUAAACUACUACUGACGCUCAGGCACGAAGGCGUGGGGAUCAAACAGGAUUAGAUUCCCUGGUAGUCCACGCAGUAAACGAUGAUUACUAGCUGUUUGCGAUACAAUGUAAGCGGCUGAGCGAAAGCGUUAAGUAAUCCACCUGGGGAGUACGUUCGCAAGAAUGAAACUCAAAGGAAUUGACGGGG
rnacentral:rRNA from 1 species